GCUGGGGUUCCGGAGAGACUCUGAAACCAGCCACAGCUGAACCCACACAUGCAAUCUGCCCACACAAAGGCCUAACAGAAAAGCACCAGAAACCAGACGGCACACAGAUACCUGUGGCCUUAACAGGGCCGCUUUGAUUCUGUUGUUUUCUCAGGAGGACUGUGCACUCAGCUUGUUGGCAGCAGCCUCUCCCAACAGGACAAUGUAUCCCACUGCUACAAGAAAACUGCUCAGGAACAGCUCAAGGAACACAAUCAAGAGCCCCAGAUGUUGACUCUGCCUCAAAACUUCCCACAUCCUGAUCCAAUCGAGCAACUACAGGAUGUGCCAGAACAACCACGACCCAUGGAGGCCACAUCAUGCAUUCCACGGGACCUAAAUUAUCCACUAUCAGCGUCCUGUUACCAGUCACCACAACACAACUCCACAGGUCCUGUGACCAUGACCUGAUGCAUCAGAGCUGUUUUGGUGGCACAAGGUGGACCUACACCAGAUCUACUCCCACAGCCAAGUCAAAUCUGGAGAAUGGUCUGACUGCAUAAGUUAUUAUCCUUCUGCUAUUAGGGAAAAAAUGGCUUGUCUCUAUUCCUUUAAACCAAUCACAACUACCUUGGGUAGUGCUAAACUACGAUGCCCCUGCAAAAUAAUGCUGUGUUAAGUGUGAAGCAGGCUAAUACCUACAGUCUACAUCUGGUAGGUCACAUGAGUGCAGGAGAUGAAGCUGUAUUUGACUAUACGUGUAUCAGAUCAGAAUCACGUAUUCUACCUUUAAUGCUGAUGUGACUUUGCCUAGCGCUGUGGUUUCUUUCGACCCACCAUACUUGCAAAACUAAAGACAGGUCCAUCAGCCUCAGCAGCAUGAAGAACACAGAAGCACAGAAUAAACAUGGAAAACAUUAUCCCUGCAUGUUAGCGUGUCUUUGUGAGCACUCUUUGUUCCAGCAUGCAGCCAUGCAGAGCUGCAAACACGCCUGCAGACUCCUUCUGUGAGAAAUUUAGUCUCAGCUGGGUGAAUAAACUGAACUUGAAUUGCGUAGGAUGAGUUUAAAAUGUGUCUGUGUGUAUCCUCCUCUUUUUUUUUUUUUUUUUUUUUUUUUUUUUUUUAAGGCACACCAAAAUAGAAAUUCUGCAUGGAAAUGAGCCUCGGACUUUAUUAGGCUGCUUAGACUCCCAGAAGGGUGGAAACAAUGAGGCCGUCAUAUAAAAACACAAAGCUGGGCAAGUUGUCAUUGCAAAUUUGUUUAUUUCUGCUGAUUAGAAUGCAUUUUGACACACUUCCUAUAGCCUGCUUGCAGGUGUGUGUAUAUAUUCUGCAGUAGUAAGACUCGGACAGCGUGUUCACCUGCAGCCAUUGUUCAUUCAGGUCAGUUAGAGGUGUGUUUGUACCUUCAAACGAUUGUUAAAUGUGUUUAGGUACAGUGUGUCUCCAUGUGUCUGAUGCCCAGAGAAGCUCCAUUCAUGAGGAGGCUUUCCCUGCAGCAGCUCAGAGGGGAGGACUGACAGCAGGUGGGUGUGACCAAAAAAAUCCGAAAACGUAUUACGCUGCAAGUCUGGCGGCCGCUUGGGUCAGUAUGAAUGGUUGGAGCUGCAGGGAGCGAGUCUGCUGCAGCACUUUAGAAAGUUUGUGAAAGAAGACAGAGGCAGAGAGAGAGGAAAGCGCGCACAUGGUUUGCUGGAUGAUUUUUACUCCGCGCUGCAAAAAAAAAGUUUGAAAGUGAAAGACAAAUGUGUGCGUGUCAGGUCACACUGGUGCAAAUUCAAUGCGCCUCCCGCAAAAAUGUUGGCUGAGUUUAAACAGAAAAGACGCGCACAGUUUGGCUGCCAGUGAUGUGGGUUUUCACUCAAGACUUUCUGAUGAAGAGGAGGAUGAAGAGAGACAAACUGGGCUCAGGCGCAGGAUUGAUAAACAGCCUCACCGCAGGACUAUCGGCUCGUUUCCACCACAUUCAGCCAUCCUGACGAGCGGUGGGGAAACCACCUCAGCAGCUCAUCAGUCGAGAUGUUGCUGAGUCACUUUGGGGUCACAACAUCAUCAUGGGAUGGGGAGGCUGGUGACCGCAGGCAGCGACACAAGAGCUGGUGCUGUGAGCCGUGGUUGCAAACUGCUGGUUUCUUGGCAAACUAAAUCAUUCUGUGGAGUUGCCUCGGGGAAUAAUUUGCCCAAAUGUUGAAAGGAAGAACAAAUUCAAGAGGUCUGAAUGGCAGUGCUGAGGUUUUUUCGGCUUGCGAAACGGCUUCCCGGGUUGUGGGCUGUUUUUGUAGAAAGAUCUCCACACCCAAUGAAGUCAUGCUGAUGCUGGUGAAAUCCCAGCUGUGGUUAAAGCAGCUAGUAAAACGGCAGUAAAAGAUUACCUCCCCUCUGGAGCCUAAUCACCAGUGAGUAUACCCAGAACACUUUAUUUAUAGUAGCAUCAUUUACUUUCAUACAAAAGGCUGAGAAAACCAGUUAAUCAAUCAAAACGCUUUAUGAACAGCACUUUCAAUAAAGGUUAGAGCUAUUUAAAAUGUUUUACAGAUGAUCAACAAGCUGAUAGGACAGCAGAGUAAACCUGUUAGAAAAAAACAAACAAAAUUAAAACUAAUGCUAUCGUGGAAAUAUAAUAUUUAUAUAUACGGAGAAAUAAUAAAAUCUAAAUAGAUAAAAUAGAUAAGACAAUGGAAAACAAAACUAUUUAGUACCAAGUGCAAAUAAAUAAAUAAAACUGGAUUUAUUUGAAUUGAAUACAUGAACAUGCUAUAAAAAAAAAUAAAAAUAAAGUUUUUGAAAAGCCUUUAAAAUUGUAUUUUUCUAAAUAUUGUCAGUGAUUUGCAGUGAUACGUAACCUGUCAGUAAAAGGUAAGUUUAUUGGUAUCGAACCUUCCAGCGAGGUCAUUUCAAGUCCUUUACCUAAAACCUAAAAAACAUGUCAGUUACACAACAAAAAAAAAGAAAAUACAUGACAACAAACAGAAGAGGCAGAUAACUGGAGUAUUCUCAGUGCAGAAAGAAUACAAAUGGGAUAGUCCCAAAUUAGAUUUAGUAAAAGGCAAACAGAAGAGGUUUUGAUUUAAAACUAAUCAGAGUAGAAGCAGAUCAUGUGUAAAGCAGAAAAACUAAAUGAUGCUUCUUCAUGUUUAGACAAGUUAAAUAACUUUACAUGGAAAUUAGACACAUAUACUUUUAUUUCUUACAUCUUUUCCUGCCUUCUUUCUUUGUAGUGUAACAAUUUUACCCACUAAGUGCUUUGCUGGAGGAUAAAUUAACUUCUAAAUUCUUAAAGAUGUUUCAAUCAAAAGGUUUUCUCUGCUCUGACUGACUGGUGGGAACUUAUUCUCACCUCUGACUCACAUGACUCAAGGUGAGUCAUGUUAGUGGUAGAACUGGUGUUAGAACCAGUUAGGGAGGGAUGUCAGGACUGGAUCAUCUGGCUGUGGUGCUGUAGACCCUCUACUCUGCCUCUACUACUCCCUGAAUCUGUCUUUUCUGUCCAGAAUGUGAACAUUGUUGUCCUGUGUGUUGAAGCUGUUGUUUAGUCUCCCAUACAUCCAGCUCUGUAUGUCUUGGACGACAUAUAAAACGCUGCUCAGCUUGUGUUUGGUUGUUUUAAAUUCAAGGUGAACUAGUUUUAGUCUGAAGUGCAGCAGAAUGCUGUGUUUGGUGGAUAUCUAAGUUGUUCCACAUACUGGAGAGGACGGUGUUGUUAUCCCUGUUCUUCUUUUCUGUUUAAUAUUUUUUCUUUCAGCUCUUUGCUGACUAAAUGAAGGCCCAGAUGGGAUGGCCACAUGUCUUUAGUGCGUUUUUUCUUUUCUGUCUGGCUUGUUUGGGACAUUCUCACCUCGGUGGAACCUCCAGCUAAUGUUGCAGUGGAUAUAAAGAGUAUUUAUUGUUCUUUGUGUGGAGGUUUCAGGGAUGCAGUAAUUUGAUACUGAUAUCAGGUAAGAGCUGGAUCCGGUCUGUGACAAUGGGUCUAUUUAUUUGAUGUCAUUCUAUGUCUACGUGUGCACGUUACAUCAUGCAUUAGCAGCGCGCUAGUAAAGGGUGUGUUAACAUGCCAGUAGCAUCCAGGAAGCUAAUAGCAAAGGGCCAAUAGUUUAAAGGCAUUUCUCACUUACUUUGCCAACAAGUUGUGUUUAUUUGCAUUAGUUUGCUGUUAAAUCCCAAUUCAGUCUCAAGCUGUGAGUUUACGACAGCAGCGUUUCUCCCUGUUGGCUUUCCUUUUUUUCCCCCGUUUUGUUUAAGCUAACAUUUGUCGAGUAGUUUAUGUAACGAGCCGUCAUCAACUCGAGUCGUACUAUCUUUACUUUACCAGCCUCUCUUCUGCUCUGUGUGUGGAGGGAAGUUAAACAAACAUGAUUAAACAGUAACCUUAAAUGACAGCAGAGACUCUGAUACUGAGCUGAAAUUAUAUCAUGGUAAAUAUAUGAAUAAAAUAGCUUCUUUUUUAAAAUUAAGGAGAAUGGUAUUUUAUUUUUAAUUGAUGCAGCUCUAUUAUUUUAUACUGAAAUUUUAAUUGCUGAACUUUAAUUUUUAAGAUUUUUUUUUUUACCAAGUUGCUCAUACACAAUUAUUUAUCAUUUUAGGAAUAAUUUUACCUGUUUAUAUGUAUUUAUUUGUUCCAUUUUGUUCUAUGAAGUUUUGCCUUACACAUAAAAGAGUGACUGCAGUCUCUACCUCACAGUGGUGACUACAGUUUAUUAACUAAACACAUUAUUAGCGUUUGGCAUCCAGACUGAGAAAGUCAGAUGAGUGUAUGUCUUUUAGGUUUCUAGCAAACUGUAUUAUUGAAGCUUCCAUCCUCCUCAAUGUUCACAGCACAGUCCAAAAAAGGCAAUUUAUUUUUAUUGACAUCCUCCCUCGUAAAUUUCUGUAAAUAUUCUGUGGACUUUGACUCAGAUCUCAUCCACCUAGCUGAACCAGCGGCUGGAUGUUAGGCUUAAAAUGACACCUGGAAGUUUACUGGAAACCUGCAUGGAUCCAACUUUUUCAGUCCUGAUACCAAACAAAAGUAAAAUAAAAGCUGCAUUCCCAACGGUGAGGAAGAAACUGGGAAUAACUGUUAUAUUUGUAAAGCAACACCAGUGUUUACUCAAACACUGCUUUCCUAACUUUGUAAAUGCAUACUUAAAAACUGUAAAUAAUUCACCAGCAACUUGGUAAGAAUCUUUAAAAUUAAGAGAAAUUACAAUUUAUAUGUAGACCUAUGAAUUCAGCAAGAUAUUGCUCAGGAAUUAAAAUCUUAGUAUGAAAAAACAACUGCAUCAAAUGAGAAAAACAUGUAAACAUGUUUCUCAUACUAUCGUAUUUAAUUUGAAAAAAAAAUCUAAAUUAUUUGCACUGAUUUAAUUUCACCUCUAUCAGAGUCUCUCCUGUCAUUUACAGCUGUGCUACUUUCCCUCCUCUACUUUUUUUCACUAUGAUUUUCUGUUUCACACACAGAGCAGGAGAGGUAGGUAAAGUAAAGAUAAUGUUGAUCAAAUUAGUGCAAUUAAAGAAUCCCAAUAAGUGUUAGACCUUAUAAAACAAAGUUGGAGGGGAAAAAGAGAAGCUAUCAGAGAAACGCUCCACCUGACCACUGUUUGUUUCCUGUUAAAUCCCAAUGAAGUCACAAACUAGUGCAUGUAGACGUAAAGAUGGAGCUGCAUUGAAUAGAUCGGCUCAGAUUUAAGUCAACAUCAGAUCACUGCACCUCUAAAACCUCCACACACAGACCAAUACUUAGUCUUUGACUCACCCAAAAGGAACACAAGCUGGGAGUUACCAGAGCCUUCCAACACUGAGCUGAGAAGAUCCCUGACAAGAUGGAGAGGAAAAGAAAAGGAAACCCUUCAAAAAUACUGCUGUCCCAUCUGGAGCUUCAGAAAGUCCGCAAAGAUGUGGGGAAAAAGCACAACAUCAAACCUGGAAGAAAUAAAGAGCAGGAGCAACAACGCUGUCAAACACAACUUCCCAAUGCUCUUAAGAAGCAGAACUGAGACAAAACCUGGUUCAGCAUGAGGACAAAACACCCAAACACAAGCAGAGCAAUAGUCUAUAAAUCCAGUGCAGUGAGGAGUGCACAGACUUAUAUAUACGGGAGACUAAACAACCACAAAGUUUAACACAUCUGAAAGAUAUGGGACAUUCUCUUAAGGACAAUAAUAUCCAAUGUCCAAUGCAGACAGGAGUUCACAGACUUGAUAUAGGGGAGACCAAACAACAGCUCCACAAGAGACUAAUUUAAAGAGAACGGCGUCCACAUUCUGGACACAUUCUGUCAUUUUUCUUCUAUAUUUGUUUCCUGGAAGGUUUACACUUGAUUAAUUUACAAAACUGUCACAGAAGCAAAAGAAACAGGAUACAGGAAUUAUUAUAUACAGAAAAAUCCACCUGGACUCCAGAGGGUUCAUGUCUUCUAGAGGUUUCCUUUGAUUCCUGUGAGUUAGUCUCACUUCCACCAGAACAUCUGCAUGCAGCUUUAUCUGAAAAAUGUACAAAAUUAAACAGUAUUACAGUGGUGCUGAUUAUCUUGACAGCUAAUCUGGGGAAUUUCACAUGUUUAAUGAGUCUGUGUACUUAAAGGUGUUCUAGUGUAAGAACUGUGAAGCUGAACAGGUUAAAUCAGAGAGAAGUUCAGUCAAAGAUUUGAAGUUCAAGCAGAUUCAUUUUCUUCUUUCCUAAUUUGUCAUUAAAGUUUUUCACUAGUGAAAUUUCUGCAGAAACAUUUUAAGAAUUAAUUUAUUUAAUUUCUCUGUGUUUUAUUGAUAAUGCUCUUUGUUUGUAUGUUGAUGAUCAAAUAAAAAAUAGAUGAAUCAACAUAAA